rnacentral:lncRNA from 1 species
UUCCUUUAGCUUUCCGUUCACCCCCCAUGCGCCGAGUUCAUCUUCUGGCCAAAAAAUUCGUCUUCCUCGCUUAAUCUCUGUUCGAUUCCUCGCGCACACAAUAUCAUCAGAUAUUUACCAAUCCAUUUCAGCCGUUUCCAAGUCGAUCCCGCCACCGGAGUCCCGAAUUCCAUGGUUAUCUUCCUCGUCGGGCUGUUGCCGAGCUGUGCAGCGAGGGUCGCCGGUGAGCUGCGCCUUUUGGGUGCUUGCAGUUUUUUCCAUUAGGUCUAGCAGAGUCGUGAGAGCAUGCGGAUGGGGUAAGGAGUUGGUUGCCGCCCCGUUCUAUGCCCGUCGUGGCCGGAACGCGAGCUGUCGUCGUGGCCGUGCCGCGGCCGAGGGCGCCGCCGCGGAGCCCAGUACUCCGCGGUCCCGAGGCCUUGCUAUCGGUCCAGGGAGGUUCAGGGCGUGGGCUGGUGCUUCCCAAGCCUAUUCCCGGCGAGGGGAGAGGCCGUCGUGGCCGACCGUCGUGGCCAGUCCACUGGCCACCGCCGGCGUCCCUGUUCGGUGUCGAGGUGCAUGCGCGUGAGGGAAAGUUGGGAGCGAAGGGCGCAGUGGGUUCAGGGGCUUGGGGUGAGCCGUGGGGCCAGGCUCUGGACGCCGGCAAGGCUCGCCGCCGGCGACCAGGGGUGCCGCCGCCCUGUUGCUCGGCGUGGUCGUGCCCCGUGCGUGAGGAAAGAGAAAGAGGGAGAUGGCCCACCUGUAAGAGAGAGGAGUGAGGGAAGGGUGGAUGUGAGAGAGAUUAGAAACUGCUGGGGGUUUUGUGCAAAUAAGAAUUAGAUUGAGUUUUCUUGUGCCAAACAAAUUUUAUUAGAUUUAUUUUAUUUUCCUUUACGCAUGAAAAACAUAAUAAUCCUAGGUUUAUAAUAAGGUUAAAUAUUUAUUUAUUUCCUUAUUCUUAAAAGAUUUAAAUAAAUACUUAAAUUGUUAUUUCAUAUAAUUAUAAAUAUGGAUACUUAACCAAUUAUUAGAAAUAUUUUCGAAUAAUAAUAAAUAGGGAAUUAGGGUUUUUCUAGUUUAGAAUAAUUGGAACUCACUUUAAAUAAAUGUUUAAAAAUUGUUUUAGGGUUUAAAUAAUUAGGAUAAAAUGUGUUAAAGUGUUUAGAAGAGGUGUUGGAUUGAAACUUUAUCGAGAAGGAAAGUUGUGAUCCAUUUUUAAAAGUUUUUUUUCAUACCCUAACUCUGCAUAUCAUAUGCUUAAGUCGAGGUCGUCGAGGUCAAGCUCGUUAAGCCGACAUCCGAGGCUUUAGAAGAGAAGAAACGAAGUUGAUUAGUAACAGGAGAAAGGAAGUUGAUCAAGAUAAAACUCAUACAAGAACUUCAAGUCGAAUCUUCACUUCUAAAGAGAAAUCAGGCAAGCACCGGAGCUUCUACGCUACUAAUGUUCCUAGAUUAUGUUAAUAUUUUAUGCCCUGCAUCUUAAUACUUAGGUCUAGAAGUUGUGUGAUUAACCUAUUUGAUGCAUGUAUACCUUUCUUGAACUAAGAAGAUCUUUGACACCUACUCAAAAAGAUUAGUUAAACAAUAGUUAACCACAGCCUAUACCUAGCUCCAAUAUCUCUAUACCGUUAUAACUAGUUUAGUCAAACAAAGUUCCGAUUGAAUGUGCUCAGUUGAGCGGAAGGUAUGUCUGGUCGUUGAGUACAGAGCAGAAAAGAAGUUCUGGCUCUGUCCUCACUUCUAGAAAGAAAGAAAUAAGGAACUUAUGGCAUGUUUAAUCUUGAUUAAGCUUUGAACGUAUUGGUCACAUGCUGACAUAUGGAACCGGUAAGCCCAGUAGCUUGGUUGAUCUAAAUUCUUGAACCAGGUUUUCUACCCCACUCGAAGUGGGAAGUUGGCGGGGUCGUAACUUGAAACUCGUAUUGAGGUCAGGCUUGAUGGGGGGCCCAAUCCGAGGUGCGAACCCAGGUCUGGGUAGACUGGUUCAAGGUUUAGUAUCUUCCUCGUGAAAGGUUGCCACAUACGGUUUUCAUUUAACAUGUACAUGACAUGUGGCCAGAUAUCUCCUACAGGAUGUAAAAUCGAUUCGAAUCACCGCACUUCUUGGUUAUGAAUACCGCUUGAUCUUGCUUGAACAUCGUAGAGUAACAUGAUGCAACGAUCAUAAAGUUGAGAGUGCUGAACCUAGUUCAUUACAUGCUGGGUUGAUGAAGUACUAGAUGUCAUAGGUUACAGUUUUGCUGUUGUUUCCCUUUAUAGUAGAUGUAUAUGUCCAAGUCCAAAAUAUUUUCAACCAACAGACCAGUUCACUCAACAUGCCUUGCAUACCCUUGAAUCCUACUUCUAUACUUGUGUAGUCGGGUCAGUAUUGCUGAGUACCUUGAAU